rnacentral:lncRNA from 1 species
UUUACUUUAUCGCACAUUUAUUUUAUUUACUGUAUGGUGUAGGUUUAUUACCCAUACAACAGUAUUUAUUUAAAAGGGUGGUGCGGGUUUAUCGUCCACGCCUUUACUUUUAUUUAAAUGUAUGGAGCAGAAUUAAUGCCCAUACAAGCACCUUAACUUUAUGAAUUUAAUUUACCGCACAUUUACAUUUAUUUAAAAGGGUGGUGCGGGUUUAUCGUCCACGCCUUUACUUUUAUUUAAAUGUAUGGAGCAGAAUUAAUGCCCAUACAAGCACCUUAACUUUAUGAAUUUAAUUUACCGCACAUUUACAUUUAUUUAAAAGGGUGGUGCGGGUUUAUCGUCCACGCCUUUACUUUUAUUUAAAUGUAUGGAGCAGAAUUAAUGCCCAUACAAGCACCUUAACUUUAUGAAUUUAAUUUACCACACAUUUACAUUUAUUUAAAAGGGUGGUGCGGGUUUAUCGUCCACGCCUUUACUUUUAUUUAAAUGCAUGGAGCAGAAUUAAUGCCCAUAUAAGCACCUUAACUUUAUGAAUUUAAUUUACCGCACAUUUACAUUUAUUUAAAGUGUGGUGCGGGUUUAUCGUCCAUACCAGUAAUUUAUUUACCAACAAUUUAUUUUAUGGAUUAAAUGUGCUGUAUGAUGAGUUUUUUUUUUUACAGUAUACAGAUCAGGACCAGAAGUUCCUUGAUCCUCAUCAUACAAU